UUCUUCACCACACACCACAACUACUAUACUCCCAAAAUGUCUCUUACAAUCCCCACUAACCUCUCCAAAUCCCUUUUGAAGCCAAAGCUAAACUCCAAACUCACCCCCAAAGUUUCACGAUCAUUGGUGGUAUGCUCCACCGACAAGACUUCAUCGCCACCAUCAUCAGCUUCAUCACUCCAAGCCUUCUCAGCAGCUCUUGCUCUUUCUUCCAUUCUUCUCUCAGCCCCACAGCCUGCCGUAGCUGAUAUUGCAGGCCUCACACCAUGCAAAGAGUCCAAGC
rnacentral:lncRNA from 1 species